CCUACGGGUGGCAGCAGUGAGGAAUAUUGGUCAAUGGACGCAAGUCUGAACCAGCCAUGCCGCGUGCAGGAAGACGGCUCUAUGAGUUGUAAACUGCUUUUGUACGAGGGUAAACGCAGAUACGCGUAUCUGUCCGAAAGUAUCGUACCAACAAGAGUCGGCCAACUCCGUGCCAGCAGCCGCGGGAAUACGGAGGAUUCAAGCGUUAUCCGGAUUUAUUGGGUUUAAAGGGUGCGUAGGCGGUCGGAUAAGUUAGAUGUGAAAUCCCCUGGCUCAACUUCGGAAUUGCCUCUGAUACUGGUCGGCUAGAGAGUAGUAGCGGUAGGCAGAAUGUAAGGUGUAGCGGUGAAAUGCGUAGAGAUC
rnacentral:rRNA from 1 species